UACGGAGGGUGCAAGCGUUAUCCGGAUUCACUGGGUUUAAAGCGCACGUAGUCGGCUUUGCAAGUCGGGUGUGAAAUCCCCGGGCUCAACCUGGGAACUGCAUCCGAGACUGCAUUGCUAGAGUAUAGGAGAGGGAAGCGGAAUUUCUGGUGUAGCAGUGAAAUGCGUAGAUAUCAGAAGGAACAUCAGUGGCGAAGGCGGCUUCCUGGACCAAUACUGACGAUCAGGUGCGAAAGCGUGGGGAGCAAACAGG
rnacentral:rRNA from 1 species